GUGAAUCAUCGAAUUUUUGAACGCAAAUUGCACUCCCUGGUAUUCCGGGGAGUAUGCCUGUUUGAGGGUCGUUAGAAUAAAAAAUCGAUGCGUCGCUCUUUUUUUUAAGGCGGAUCGCUUCGGAUUUGAGCGUCCUUUCAAAUGUUAUUUCAGUUCAAGUUGGCUUGAAAUUCAUCCAUCGGUUAGGAUUGAACGUUAUUUAAGAUCAUUUUUGAUUGAGA
rnacentral:misc_RNA from 1 species